ACAGGUGCUGCAUGGCUGUCGUUCAGCUCGUGUUGUGAAAUGUUGGUUAAGUCCCGCAACGAGCGCAACCCUUAUCCCUUUGUUGCCAGCGGUCCGGCCGGGAACUCAAAGGAGACUGCCAGUGAUAAACUGGAGGAAGGUGGGGAUGACGUCAAGUCAUCAUGGCCCUUACGACCAGGGCUACACACGUGCUACAAUGGCGCAUACAAAGAGAAGCGACCUCGCGAGAGCAAGCGGACCUCAUAAAGUGCGUCGUAGUCCGGAUUGGAGUCUGCAACUCGACUCCAUGAAGUCGGAAUCGCUAGUAAUCGUGGAUCAGAAUGCCACGGUCGAAUACGUUCCCGGGCCUU
rnacentral:rRNA from 1 species